GAGUUUGAUCAUGGCUCAGGACGAACGCUAGCGGCAGGCCUAAUACAUGCAAGUCGAACGAUAGAUACCAGCUUGCUGGUAUCAAAAGUGGCGCACGGGUGCGUAACGCGUAUGCAACCUGCCUCAAUCAGGGGGAUAGCCCGAAGAAAUUCGGAUUAACACCGCAUAAAAACACAGUACAGCAUUGUACAAUGUUCAAAUAUUUAUAGGAUUGAGAUGGGCAUGCGUGUCAUUAGCUAGUUGGCGGGGUAACGGCCCACCAAGGCGACGAUGACUAGGGGAUCUGAGAGGAUGACCCCCCACACUGGUACUGAGACACGGACCAGACUCCUACGGGAGGCAGCAGUAAGGAAUAUUGGUCAAUGGAGGCAACUCUGAACCAGCCAUGCCGCGUGCAGGAAGACAGCCCUCUGGGUCGUAAACUGCUUUUAUUCGGGAAUAAACCUUAUUACGUGUAAUAAGCUGAAUGUACCGAAGGAAUAAGGAUCGGCUAACUCCGUGCCAGCAGCCGCGGUAAUACGGAGGAUCCAAGCGUUAUCCGGAUUUAUUGGGUUUAAAGGGUGCGUAGGCGGCUUAUUAAGUCAGGGGUGAAAGACGGUGGCUCAACCAUCGCAGUGCCCUUGAUACUGAUGAGCUUGAAUGAACUAGAGGUAGGCGGAAUGUGACAAGUAGCGGUGAAAUGCAUAGAUAUGUCACAGAACACCGAUUGCGAAGGCAGCUUACUAUGGUUUUAUGAC
rnacentral:rRNA from 1 species